UACGGGGGGGGCAAGCGUUGUUCGGAAUUACUGGGCGUAAAGGGCUCGUAGGUGGCCAACUAAGUCGGACGUGAAAUCCCUCGGCUUAACCGGGGAACUGCGUCCGAUACUGGUUGGCUUGAGUUUGGGAGAGGGAUGCGGAAUUCCAGGUGUAGCGGCGAAAUGCGUAGAUAUCUGGAGGAACACCGGUGGCGAAGGCGGCAUCCUGGACCAAUAUUGACGCUGAGGAGCGAAAGCCAGGGGAGCAAACGGG
rnacentral:rRNA from 1 species